GACGAACGCUGGCGGCGUGCUUAACACAUGCAAGUCGAGCGGUAAGGCCCUUUUGGGGGUACACGAGCGGCGAACGGGUGAGUAACACGUGGGUGACCUGCCCUCAGCUCUGGGAUAAGCCUGGGAAACUGGGUCUAAUACUGGAUAUGACCUUUCCUCGCAUGGGGUUGGGUGGAAAGUUUUUCGGCUGGGGAUGGGCCCGCAGCCUAUCAGCUUGUUGGUGGGGUGAUGGCCUACCAAGGCGACGACGGGUAGCCGGCCUGAGAGGGCGACCGGCCACACUGGGACUGAGACACGGCCCAGACUCCUACGGGAGGCAGCAGUGGGGAAUAUUGCGCAAUGGGCGGAAGCCUGACGCAGCGACGCCGCGUGGGGAUGACGGCC
rnacentral:rRNA from 1 species